AUUGAACGCUGGCGGCAGGCCUAACACAUGCCAGUCGAGCGGAUGAAGGGAGCUUGCUCCUGGAUUCAGCGGCGGACGGGUGAGUAAUGCCUAGGAAUCUGCCUGGUAGUGGGGGAUAACGUCCGGAAACGGGCGCUAAUACCGCAUACGUCCUGAGGGAGAAAGUGGGGGAUCUUCGGACCUCACGCUAUCAGAUGAGCCUAGGUCGGAUUAGCUAGUUGGUGGGGUAAAGGCCUACCAAGGCGACGAUCCGUAACUGGUCUGAGAGGAUGAUCAGUCACACUGGAGCUGAGACACGGUCCAGACGACUACGGGAGGCAGCAGUGGGGAAUAUUGGACAAUGGGCGAAAGCCUGAUCCAGCCAUGCCGCGUGUGUGAAGAAGGUCUUCGGAUUGUAAAGCACUUUAAGUUGGGAGGAAGGGCAGUAAGUUAAGACCUUGCGGUUUUGACGUUACCAACAGAAUAAGCACCGGCUAACUUCGUG
rnacentral:rRNA from 1 species